rnacentral:rRNA from 1 species
GUGCCAGCCGCCGCGGUAAUACGGAGGGUGCAAGCGUUGUCCGGAAUCACUGGGCGUAAAGGGUGCGCAGGCGGGGCAGCAAGUCGGAGGUGAAAGCCCAUGGCUCAACCAUGGAAGUGCCUUCGAAACUGUUGCUCUUGAGUCCCGGAGAGGCUGUCGGAAUUCGUGGUGUAGCGGUGAAAUGCGUAGAUAUCACGAGGAACACCAGUGGCGAAGGCGGCUCACUGGCUCGAUACUGACGCUGAGGUGCGAAAGUGUGGGGAGCAAACAGGAUUAGAAACCCCGGUAGUCC